ACGGGUGAGUAACGCGUGAGCAAUCUGCCCUUCGGAGGGGGACAACAGCUGGAAACGGCUGCUAAUACCGCAUGAUGUAUUCGGGUGGCAUCAUCUGAAUACCAAAGAUUUAUCGCCGAAGGAUGAGCUCGCGUCUGAUUAGCUAGUUGGUAGGGUAACGGCCUACCAAGGCUUCGAUCAGUAGCCGGACUGAGAGGUUGAACGGCCACAUUGGGACUGAGAUACGGCCCAGACUCCUACGGGAGGCAGCAGUGGGGAAUAUUGGGCAAUGGGGGCAACCCUGACCCAGCAACGCCGCGUGAAGGAAGAAGGCUUUCGGGUUGUAAACUUCUUUGACCAGGGACGAAACAAAUGACGGUACCUGGAAAACAAGCCACGGCUAACUACGUGCCAGCAGCCGCGGUAAUACGUAGGUGGCAAGCGUUGUCCGGAUUUACUGGGUGUAAAGGGCGCGUAGGCGGGAAUGCAAGUCAGAUGUGAAAUGCUGGGGCUUAACCCUGGAACUGCAUUUGAAACUGUAUUUCUUGAGUAUCGGAGAGGCAGGCGGAAUUCCUAGU
rnacentral:rRNA from 1 species